GGCAGUGUGGUGUAAUGCUGCACACAGGAAUUUCUUAGCAAUAAUCCACAUCUAUGUUUCUGAGAUCCUUGUUCGAAUCAAGGUGCUGCCU